AGAACGAACGCUGGCGGCAUGCCUAACACAUGCAAGUCGAACGCUUUUGGGGCUUCGGUCCCAAAGGAGUGGCGCACGGGUGAGUAGCGCGUGGGAACCUGCCCUGUUGUGGGGGAUAACCGAGGGAAACUUCGGCUAAUACCGCAUACGCCCGGGGGAAACUCCGGGGAAAGAUUUAUCGCAGCAGGAGGGGCCCGCGUCGGAUUAGGUAGUUGGUGGGGUAACGGCCCACCAAGCCUGUGAUCCGUAGCUGGUCUGAGAGGAUGAUCAGCCACACUGGGACUGAGACACGGCCCAGACUCCUACGGGAGGCAGCAGUGGGGAAUAUUGGACAAUGGGCGCAAGCCUGAUCCAGCAAUGCCGCGUGAGUGAUGAACGGCCUUCGGGUUGUAAAGCUCUUUCGCACGCGACGAUGAUGACGGUAGCGUGAGAAGAAGCCCCGGCUAACUUCGUGCCAGCAGCCC
rnacentral:rRNA from 1 species